GAUGAACGCUGGCGGCGUGCUUAACACAUGCAAGUCGAACGGAAAGGCUCCUGCUUGCAGGGGUACUCGAGUGGCGAACGGGUGAGUAACACGUGGGUGAUCUGCCCUGCACUUCGGGAUAAGCCUGGGAAACUGGGUCUAAUACCGGAUAGGACGAUGGUUUGGAUGCCAUUGUGGAAAGUUUUUUCGGUGUGGGAUGAGCUCGCGGCCUAUCAGCUUGUUGGUGGGGUAAUGGCCUACGAAGGCGUCGACGGGUAGCCGGCCUGAGAGGGUGUACGGCCACAUUGGGACUGAGGUACGGCCCAGACUCCUACGGGAGGCAGCAGUGGGGAAUAUUGCACAAUGGGCGCAAGCCUGAUGCAGCGACGCCGCGUGGGGGAUGACGGCCUUCGGGUUGUAAACUCCUUUCGCUAGGGACGAAGCGCAAGUGACGGUACCUGGAGAAGAAGCACCGGCUAACUACGUG
rnacentral:rRNA from 1 species